AGACCCGAAACCCGGUGAUCUAGCCAUGGGCAGGUUGAAGGUUGGGUAACACUAACUGGAGGACCGAACCGACUAAUGUUGAAAAAUUAGCGGAUGACCUGUGGCUGGGGGUGAAAGGCCAAUCAAACCGGGAGAUAGCUGGUUCUCCCCGAAAGCUAUUUAGGUAGCGCCUCGUGAAUUCAUCUCCGGGGGUAGAGCACUGUUUCGGCUAGGGGGCCAUCCCGGCUUACCAACCCGAUGCAAACUGCGAAUACCGGAGAAUGUUAUCACGGGAGACACACGGCGGGUGCUAACGUCCGUCGUGAAGAGGGAAACAACCCAGACCGCCAGCUAAGGUCCCAAAGUCAUGGUUAAGUGGGAAACGAUGUGGGAAGGCCCAGACAGCCAGGAUGUUGGCUUAGAAGCAGCCAUCAUUUAAAGAAAGCGUAAUAGCUCACUGGUCGAGUCGGCCUGCGCGGAAGAUGUAACGGGGCUAAACCAUGCACCGAAGCUGCGGCAGCGACACUCAGGUGUUGUUGGGUAGGGGAGCGUUCUGUAAGCCUGCGAAGGUGGCCUGUGAGGGUUGCUGGAGGUAUCAGAAGUGCGAAUGCUGACAUAAGUAACGAUAAAGCGGGUGAAAAGCCCGCUCGCCGGAAGACCAAGGGUUCCUGUCCAACGUUAAUCGGGGCAGGGUGAGUCGACCCCUAAGGCGAGGCCGAAAGGCGUAGUCGAUGGGAAACGGGUUAAUAUUCCCGUACUUGGUGUUACUGCGAAGGGGGGACGGAGAAGGCUAUGUUGGCCGGGCGACGGUUGUCCCGGUUUAAGCGUGUAGGCUGGUUUUCCAGGCAAAUCCGGAAAAUCAAGGCUGAGGCGUGACGACGAGGCACUACGGUGCUGAAGCAACAAAUGCCCUGCUUCCAGGAAAAGCCUCUAAGCAU
rnacentral:rRNA from 1 species